GACGAACGCUGGCGGCGUGCCUAACACAUGCAAGUCGAACGGGGUGUUCCUUCGGGGACACUUAGUGGCGAACGGGUGAGUAACGCGUGAGAAACCUGCCUUUCAGUGGGGGACAACAGUUGGAAACGACUGCUAAUACCGCAUAAUGUUUCGAGAGGGCAUCCUUUUGAAACCAAAGCUUUAUGUGCUGAAAGAUGGUCUCGCGUCUGAUUAGCUAGUUGGUGAGGUAACGGCUCACCAAGGCGACGAUCAGUAGCCGGUCUGAGAGGAUGAACGGCCACAUUGGGACUGAGAUACGGCCCAGACUCCUACGGGAGGCAGCAGUGGGGAAUAUUGGGCAAUGGGGGAAACCCUGACCCAGCAACGCCGCGUGAAGGAAGAAGGCCUUCGGGUUGUAAACUUCUUUUACCUAGGACGAAGAACGUGACGGUACCUGGAGAAAAAGACAACGGCGUAACUACGUGCCAGCA
rnacentral:rRNA from 1 species